GACGAACGCUGGCGGCGUGCUUAACACAUGCAAGUCGAACGGAAAGGCCUGCUUUCCCUUGUGGAUUGCGGGUGCUCGAGUGGCGAACGGGUGAGUAACACGUGAGUGAUCUGCCCCCAACUUGGGUAUAAGCCUGGGAAACUGGGUCUAAUUCCCGAUAGGACUGCAGGGUGGUGCCUGUGGUGGAAAACGAUUUUCUAGUGGUUGGGGAUGAGCUCGCGGCCUAUCAGCUUGUUGGUGGGGUAAUGGCCUACCAAGGCGGCGACGGGUAGCCGGCCUGAGAGGGUGGACGGCCACAUUGGGACUGAGGUACGGCCCAGACUCCUACGGGAGGCAGCAGUGGGGAAUAUUGCACAAUGGGCGGAAGCCUGAUGCAGCGACGCCGCGUGGGGGAUGACGGCCUUCGGGUUGUAAACUCCUUUCGACCGCGAGGAAGCCACCUGGUUGGAAGGGUGGUGACGGUAGUGGUAGAAGAAGCACCGGCUAACUACGUG
rnacentral:rRNA from 1 species